rnacentral:rRNA from 1 species
GACGAACGCUGGCGGCGUGCUUAACACAUGCAAGUCGAACGGAAAGUAGCAAUAUUUUCAGUGGCGAACGGGUGAGUAACACUUGAGCAACCUACCUUGUACUUUGGAAUAACUCCUAGAAAUGGGUGCUAAUACCGAAUAAGACCACGGAGAGGCAUCUCUUCGGGGCCAAAGCUCCGGCGGUACAAGAUGGGCUCGAGUCCAAUUAGCUAGAUGGUGAGAUAACAGCCCACCAUGGCAACGAUUGGUAGCCGGCCUGAGAGGGUGAUCGGCCACACUGGAACUGAGACACGGUCCAGACUCCUACGGGAGGCAGCAGUGGGGAAUAUUGCACAAUGGGCGAAAGCCUGAUGCAGCAACGCCGCGUGAGCGAUGAAGGCCUUCGGUCGUAAGCUCUGUCCUCAAGAAGAUAAUGACGGUACUUGAGGAGGAAGCCCCGGCGUAACUACGUGCCAGCAGCCGCGGUAAGUCAUACUCGUA